rnacentral:rRNA from 1 species
ACAAGCGGUGGAGCAUGUGGUUUAAUUCGACGCAACGCGAAGAACCUUACCUGGGCUUGACAUCCCGAUCGUACCUGCUGGAGACAGCGGGGUCAGUUCGGCUGGAUCGGAGACAGGUGCUGCAUGGCUGUCGUCAGCUCGUGUCGUGAGAUGUUGGGUUAAGUCCCGCAACGAGCGCAACCCUUGUCUUUAGUUGCCAUCAUUAAGUUGGGCACUCUAAAGAGACUGCCGGUGUCAAACCGGAGGAAGGUGGGGAUGACGUCAGGUCCUCAUGGCCUUUAUGACCAGGGCUACACACGUACUACAAUGGCAGGUACAAAGGGCAGCCACUUAGCGAUAAGGCGCGAAUCCCAUAAAACCUGUCUCAGUCCGGAUUGGAGUCUGCAACUCGACUCCAUGAAGUUGGAAUCGCUAGUAAUCGCAGAUCAGCACGCUGCGGUGAAUACGUUCCCGGGCCUU